rnacentral:lncRNA from 1 species
UGGAAUUAGACAUCACCCGGUGCCUUUUGACAUGAAAUGUGCGUUAGAAACAAUUUGUGCUUGAAGACUACCGCACACUGCCUCGAGCUUGGAAAUUGUAUUAUGGAAAAUCUAUAAAAGGCACUAAGUAAAGACCUUGCAAACAUAAACUCCGUAUUUCAUGUAGUUUAGCAAAUAGUCGAAUUAAAUUUAUAGCUGAACGAUUUAUUAACCCAAUUUAAUUGUAGAAACAAAACCCAUUUUCACUCUAGUUUAUGUUUCCCUUCAGCAAAUUUGGAUUGCGUGCAUACUAUGCUUCAGGCCCUGUUCUAGGUGCCGUGGUUACAGUCAAACCUUCUUUUUAAAAGAAAAAUAAUGAUCUAUAGUCAUUGGCGUAGCUAUGCUCCAAAGUUGUAAAGGUCUGCAUUGUGAUUCACCCCUAAAGUCUAUAAACGAUUCCUCACUGCAUCCCAUCUGCCCGUAGAUGCUUCAAACACCCCAGGUUACAAAGCAACAUGAACAUCAGUCGGGACCUUUACAGAGUCUUCCGGACCGAGGUGCAAACGCAUAGCGUUUGGGGCUAAACUGAUUGGAAUAACAUUCUCAAAUGAGGGUUUUUCACAAGCAGACUUCUCUACAAAGUUGGGGCAGUGUAUUUUCAAUUUUAAAAUAUUGUGAAAUCAACAGAAAUGGCAAGGGUGGCGAUCUGUGUUUUGGCAGAGGUGUCCGAACAUGAUUCGACCCUGGGAUUCCGUUCUGCAAGCAGGUUCACUGAGGAGAGAAGAAAAAUCUCCACGUAACUACAGCACAAGGCGGAGCGUGGUACGCACACCCAGAGAGGUGAGCUGUGGGCAGGUUCUGAGCCCUAAAGAGACCUCGGAUGUUUGCCGAGGGUUUGGGAAGAUUCCUUGGAGUCUUAGAACUCCUGAGAAUUAGGUCAUGGUCUAUGGAUAGGUCUCUGCCAGAGGCAGAAAAGGCAGAGAAAGAUGCAGGACGUUGUAGGCAGAGGAAAUAGUGAAAACAGGGGAUGGGAAAGGACGCUGUGGGGUAGCGUUUGCAGCACAGGACGUGUACAUUGGCUUAGGUAAGAGACGUACAGAAAAGGACUGGGAGAAACGUCUGAAAGUGCAUGUG